GUGUUGGUGGUUCAGUGGUAGAAUUCUCACCUUUCAUGUGGAGACCAGGGUUCAAUUCCCAGUCAGGACA
rnacentral:tRNA from 1 species